rnacentral:lncRNA from 1 species
CGGGCAAGGAACCCUGCAGCGGCCCCCGGUCCAAGGCGGGCAAGGAACCCUGCAGCGGCCCCGGUCCAAAGGCGGGCAAGGAACCCUGCAGCGGCCCCGGUCCAAAGGCGGGCAAGGAACCCUGCAGCGGCCCCGGGGCAAAGACGGGCAAGGAACCCUGCAGCGGCCCCGGGGCAAAGACGGGUAAAGAACCCUGCUAUUGCGGCCCUGGGCAAAGACUGGUAAAGAACCCCUGCAUCGAUCCCUGGUCCAAGAUCGGACAAAGAACCUGCAGCGACCCCGGGGCAGAGUCCGGCAAAGAACCCUGCAGCGACCCCGGGGCAGAGUCCGGCAAAGAACCCUGCAGCGACCCCGGGGCAGAGUCCGGCAAAGAACCCUGCAGCGACCCCGGGGCAGAGUCCGGCAAAGAACCCUGCAGCGACCCCGGGGCAGAGUCCGGCAAAGAACCCUGCAGCGACCCCGGGGCAGAGUCCGGCAAAGAACCCUGCAGCGACCCCGGGGCAGAGUCCGGCAAAGAACCCUGCAGCGACCCCGGGGCAGAGUCCGGCAAAGAACCCUGCAGCGACCCCGGGGAAAAGACGGAGACUCCACAACCCAGCAAUCCUACAUACACUCCACUGAUUGAUUUUCUGAGGAGCAAGAACCGACAGGCAGUCGGUCUUAAAGCACUCAUAGAGUGUCAUUGUGAUGGGCUGCCGCUCUUCUACCUGUGCCAGGUGUGUAAGUGUAAAGUCCUGCAGAACUCGAUUAUCUCCCAUGUCACUGGAGACAAUCACCGACAAUUAUCCCUGUGGCCUAUGAAUACUAUUCCCAAACGCCACAGGAGGUUGAGGGCAGCUGCCUUAAAGCUGGAGAAGACCUUGGGAUAUGGAGAAUUUAAGGUAGCAGUGUUG